rnacentral:tRNA from 1 species
AGAGGUGUGAUUCAGUGGUAGAGUGGUUGCCUAAACUGCUCAAGGCCCUGGGUUCAAUUCCCAGCACUCCAA